rnacentral:tRNA from 1 species
AAUCAAUGAGCUUGAAUAAGCAUAUGUUUUGAAAACAUAAGAUAAAAGAACUAAUUUUAUUGAUUU